rnacentral:ncRNA from 1 species
CCUUUGCCGGCGAGGGCUCGAAAGAGAUGUGCCGGACGUGGAUUAGUCGGAAAGUGCCACGUCAUAAGAAAACCCCGACAGCC